CGCUCUUUUAUUUCCUUAGCAACGCGGAACACGGAGGAACGUGCAGCGACAGACAAGCGCCGCAGAAGUAAAAAUGAAAAACCAUUCCUUUCCGUGCAUAAAUGACGACGACGCACGUUUUAGGCUGAAAGUUGAAAGCAAAACGAAAAACAUCUUUGUGACGCAGAAUGAGGAGGAAAGAGAUGAAGAAGAUGAAAACGUUAAUCGAAUUCCAGUCAUAACAGAGGACUCUGGCAGACUCCUAGAAAUGGGAGUGAACACUCUUCAGAGGACCCUUGUCCUCAGGAGGAAGAUGGCUGUGGACCGGGUUGAAAUGCAGCUGGCCCUCAAACGGCAGGAGUUCCAGGAACGUAUGAAGGCUGUGGCUCAUCGGAAAGCUGAACUUCACCGCAAGCAAGAGGAGAAAGAAGAUCUGGUGAUGAAAUUUGAGAAGCUCGUGCAGGAAAACAAGGCAAAGCAGCAGCAGGAGCUGAAGAAGCAUCGGCUGGAGAGGAAGCAGAAUGAACUGGAGAAGGAGUUGGAGGAACUCAGGCAGCAGCUGGAGACCCUGGAACUUAGGAAGAAGUACCUAAGAGAGAAGGCGAACAGAUAUAGAAUUUAUGAAGACUAUUUACUCAAAGUUUUAGAUCUGCUUCCUGAGAAACAUGGAACAGACACACCAGUCAUGCCCAUCAUCCAACGGCAUGAGACUCUGUCUAUCACACAUGGGGACCUGCAGGAAAGGCUGGAGGGCCUGAUGGAGGAACUUAAGAGGCGCAAGCAUGAUCUAGAAGCCAUGAGGCAGGAGCUUGACACUAGGAAGCUGAUCACAAAAAGGAAGCUCUCUGAGCUGCAGACCCAAUGGGACACGGAGAAAGAGAAGAAUAUACGCCUGGAGAUGAACCUGCAGAUGAAACAGGGCCAAUCCAGAGAGCGGAAUAAGGGGAUGGGGAGUCUGUUCACAGCAAUUAGAAAUCUGGGCGAGCAGUGUCACCUACAGCAUUAUGGAUCACUAGAAGACAUGGACCUUUUAAGCAUGAUGGAUAUGAUUAAGGAAUUCAUUGUGGAGAAAUCAGAAGUGGAAAAAAUGGCAAAGGACCCUCGUGCGUGUUUGCCGGGUGCAGGGGGGCUUCCUGACAUUAGAAGGGCCAAAGUUUCACCAGCAAAGUCUGACAGUAAGACAGCACUAAAGACAAGCAGCAAGACCAGCAGUAAGAACAGCCUGACAAGUGGCUCAUGGGUAUAAAUACAGAGCCCUGAGGAACACCCACUGAUUCCUAUCACGUGCAGCUAGUGAAUACUGGCAAUAUAUAGUAAAGUCACGCUAAUAAAAUGGAUAAAUCUGUUUUUAUUUAACUUUGU
rnacentral:lncRNA from 1 species